rnacentral:rRNA from 1 species
ACUCCUACGGGAGGCAGCAGUGGGGAAUAUUGCACAAUGGGCGCAAGCCUGAUGCAGCCAUGCCGCGUGUAUGAAGAAGGCCUUCGGGUUGUAAAGUACUUUCAGCAGUGAGGAAGGCGGGUACGUUAAUAGCGUGCUUGUUUGACGUUAGCUGCAGAAGAAGCACCGGCUAACUCCGUGCCAGCAGCCGCGGUAAUACGGAGGGUGCGAGCGUUAAUCGGAAUUACUGGGCGUAAAGCGCAUGCAGGUGGUUUGUUAAGUCAGAUGUGAAAGCCCGGGGCUCAACCUCGGAAUUGCAUUUGAAACUGGCAGACUAGAGUACUGUAGAGGGGGGUAGAAUUUCAGGUGUAGCGGUGAAAUGCGUAGAGAUCUGAAGGAAUACCGGUGGCGAAGGCGGCCCCCUGGACAGAUACUGACACUCAGAUGCGAAAGCGU